CUACGGGUCGCACCAGUGGGGAAUAUUGCGCAAUGGGCGAAAGCCUGACGCAGCGACGCCGCGUGAGUGAUGAAGGUUUUCGGAUCGUAAAGCUCUGUGGGAGAGGGAAGAAAAACUGGUGGGAAUAAUACCCCAUUGGCUUGACGGUACCUUUCCAGAAAGCACCGGCUAACUCCGUGCCAGCAGCCGCGGUAAUACGGAGGGUGCAAACGUUGUUCGGAAUCACUGGGCGUAAAGCGCGUGUAGGCGGCGCAGUAAGUCAGAUGUGAAAGCCCACGGCUCAACCGUGGAAGUGCAUUUGAAGCUGCUGGGCUAGAGUACGGGAGAGGAUGGUGGAAUUCCGGGUGUAGAGGUGAAAUUCGUAGAUAUCCGGAGGAACAUCGGUGGCGAAGGCGGCCAUCUGGACCGAUACUGACGCUGAGACGCGAAAGCGUGGGGAGCAAACAGGAUUAGAUACCCCCGUAGUC
rnacentral:rRNA from 1 species